UUUUGUGCAGACUAGAGCUCAAUCGCAGGUUUCAUUCAGACUAGGCGGUGUUCAAGUAAACCGCACACCAUUCAAGCGGUGUUCGUCUAAACCGUGUGCCACUUGAGUUGAGAACGAGCGGAGAACUAGCGAAGAAGGUAAACCGUGAGAUACACCGGAGAAGGUAUGAUCGGUAUUUCAAGAGGUAUUCAUCUACACCGCUCACCUAUUGAUCGGAUUGUUCUCCGGUUUGUUUCAAGACCCAAUCAAUUUCUCGGCUAAGCACAACUCAUCAGGUGACUGUGAGCUACUAUUAGCUACACAGGAUAUGAGUUUUGACUGAAACAGAAGCAACAACAAUUAGGAUGUCUUGCCAACAGGUUUCUAAACAGUAACUCAAUUGUAACAACAACUCCGCAACAGCAAGUCCAAAACAAGAAAGCAGCAGCAACUUCAAAACAGCAGCAGCAAAUUUUUUUUUAAGCAACAACAUCAUGUCUUGACAGCAGUUUAAGUUUUUUUUAAUGCUGUGUUUGUGUUUGGACAGAAGAAAACAGCAGCAACGUAACUGUGUUUGUGAUGUACAAGUGACAGGUUGCAAACAGCAGCAGCCUAACAGUUUGUUUUGACAGCAACUAAGCAGCAACAUCAGGUGUCUUGAUUUUUGUUUUUGACAGCAAAGAAAGAUUGAUUUGAAACAGCUUUAACAGCUGGUUCUUAAAAGUAGUUUGUUGUGCUGUGUUUAGACAGCAACCAGAAGAAAAACAGAUUGCAUUUCUUAACAGUUCUUGAAGCAGCAGCAACUUCACAGUAGUGAACAGGUUGCAGGUUCUUAACAGCAAGUUCACAGCAACAGCAACAAGUUGCUGUGAUUUCAACAGCAACAACAAGAAAGCAGCAGCUUAGUUGAAUUGUGCAGGCUUAAGAAUUGCAUAUUGUCCGGUUAAACAUUCAAAUCUUGACAGGUUUAGACAUGCUGUUUGGUGUUUGUAGGUUUAAGCAAUAGCAGUUUUUGUGAGGAGCAUACUAAGAUGCCUGUCCAUUGUGAGGAAGUGGCUGUUUAGAGACUGUUUUAAGAGUUUCUGUUUCGUUUCAUCAUUGACAGAUACAGAAGUAGUUUUGGAGUUUGAAUUUGCUGGAUUAUUUUGGACAGAUUGGCUAUAUUGUUUGUGACUGGUAUAUGUGUUCUUGACUUGCAGCAGC